GCCCAGGUGGCGGAAUUGGUAGACGCAGCAGACUCAAAAUCUGCCGCCUUCACGGGUGUGCUGGUUCGAUUCCAGUCCUGGGCACAA
rnacentral:tRNA from 1 species